UACGUAGGGGGCAAGCGUUAUCCGGAUUUACUGGGUGUAAAGGGAGCGUAGACGGUUAAGCAAGUCUGGAGUGAAAGGCGGGGGCUCAACCCCCGGACUGCUCUGGAAACUGUAUAACUAGAGUGCAGGAGGGGUAAGUGGAAUUCCUAGUGUAGCGGUGAAAUGCGUAGAUAUUAGGAGGAACACCAGUGGCGAAGGCGGCUUACUGGACUGUAACUGACGUUGAGGCUCGAAAGCGUGGGGAGCAAACAGG
rnacentral:rRNA from 1 species